AUUGAACGCUGGCGGCAGGCUUAACACAUGCAAGUCGAGCGGGGUGAUGGUGCUUGCACUAUCACUUAGCGGCGGACGGGUGAGUAAUGCUUAGGAAUCUGCCUAUUAGUGGGGGACAACAUCUCGAAAGGGAUGCUAAUACCGCAUACGUCCUACGGGGGAAAGCAGGGGAUCACUUGUGACCUCGCGCUAAUAGAUGAGCCUAAGUCGGAUUAGCUAGUUGGUGGGGUAAAGGCCUACCAAGGCGACGAUCUGUAGCGGGUCUGAGAGGAUGAUCCGCCACACUGGGACUGAGACACGGCCCAGACUCCUACGGGAGGCAGCAGUGGGGAAUAUUGGACAAUGGGGGGAACCCUGAUCCAGCCAUGCCGCGUGUGUGAAGAAGGCCUUAUGGUUGUAAAGCACUUUAAGCGAGGAGGAGGCUCUUUUGGUUAAUACCCAGAAUGAGUGGACGUUACUCGCAGAAUAAGCACCGGCUAACUCUGUGCCAGCCGCCGCCGUAA
rnacentral:rRNA from 1 species